GCUGUCGUUUCGUUUUUCAUUUUACUCUCUCACUUUCUUUGGAAUCAGCCUGCUGUGUGGACGCGAACAGCAAGACUUCUCCACAAAACAUCCGGCGUAUGGGAAAUGCGCCAACGCCGCGGUAAAGUUCGACUUCCGGCCGGAAACUUGCCCCCUUCCAGGGGGGGUAGGUUCCGCUAGGACGGUCCAGCUUUGAAGAGAACCGCAAACUCAUUUCGUCCUCCCAACCAAACAAUCCCGGAAAUGCCGCAACACGGAGUAGUCUCUCGUUCUUCUUCGGGCACGAUUCGGGAGGGAGCCGAGUGUUUUGCAACCAACCUAGAAUGUAGUAAAUUUGUGUGUUUUUGUGUCCAAUAAAAAAAUGCGUUUUCAACGUGAAGAA